AACGAACGCUGGCGGCAGGCCUAACACAUGCAAGUCGAGCGCGCCCUUCGGGGUGAGCGGCGGACGGGUGAGUAACGCGUGGGAACGUGCCCUUUUCUACGGAAUAGCCUCGGGAAACUGAGAGUAAUACCGUAUACGCCCUUUGGGGGAAAGAUUUAUCGGAAAAGGAUCGGCCCGCGUUGGAUUAGGUAGUUGGUGGGGUAAUGGCCUACCAAGCCGACGAUCCAUAGCUGGUUUGAGAGGAUGAUCAGCCACACUGGGACUGAGACACGGCCCAGACUCCUACGGGAGGCAGCAGUGGGGAAUCUUAGACAAUCGGGGCAACCCUGAUCUAGCCAUGCCGCGUGAGUGAUGAAGGCCUUAGGGUUGUAAAGCUCUUUCAGCUGGGAAGAUAAUGACGGUACCAGCAGAAGAAGCCCCGGCUAACUCCGUG
rnacentral:rRNA from 1 species